rnacentral:lncRNA from 1 species
CAGGAGUUCGCCGAGAUGUGUUUUUAAAUGGGUCCUACAAUGAUUAUGUGAGGGAAUUUCAUAACAUGGGACCACCACCACCUUGGCAAGGAAUGCCCCCUUACCCAGGAAUGGAACAACCUCCACACCAUCCUUACUAUCAGCACCAUGCUCCACCUCCUCAAGCUCAUCCCCCUUACUCAGGACAUCAUCCAGUACCACAUGAAGCAAGAUACAGAGAUAAACGAGUAGUAAGUGCACAAGGAGGCAAAGGUGUGAGGGAACUACUUAGAAUUCUGUAGGUAACUUAAAUAUGGGGAGACCAGAGUAUGAUGAUUGACGGACCAUUGCAUAUUCUUACUGCAGACUGUUUUGGAAUAAUUGUUUGUUUUUAUUAAAAAUGCCUGAUUAUGCCCCUUUGGAUUAUAUAGAUAGAAUAUAUUUCUUUUACUGAUCAAAUCACAAACUGCUUAAGGCAAACGCCUACAAAUAGAACUCCUUUUAGGUAGUACCUAGGCUAUGUUCUUUCCAUAUUGAGAUCUUAAUUAUGCUAUGUAAUUAAUAUUGUUAAUAGAUAUUUCUGAACUUUUUGUGUAUUCUUACUCAAUUUUUCUAGGAUAGAUCGUGUAUAUUAAGUUAGCUGAUAAGCUGUAAUCUCAUUUAGUCAUUUGUUUUUAUUUCUACCAAAUGUUAAAGCUAGUAACUGAUAA